AGAACGAACGCUGGCGGCAUGCCUAACACAUGCAAGUCGAACGCUUCCGGGGCUUCGGUCGCGGAGGAGUGGCGCACGGGUGAGUAGCGCGUGGGAACCUGCCCUGUUGUGGGGGAUAACCGAGGGAAACUUCGGCUAAUACCGCAUACGCCCCGGGACUUGGUCUUCGGAUUAGGUCUGGGGGAAAGAUUGAUCGCAGCAGGAGGGGCCCGCGUCGGAUUAGCUGGUUGGUGGGGUAACGGCUCACCAAGGCGAUGAUCCGUAGCUGGUCUGAGAGGAUGAUCAGCCACACUGGGACUGAGACACGGCCCAGACUCCUACGGGAGGCAGCAGUGGGGAAUAUUGGACAAUGGGGGCAACCCUGAUCCAGCAAUGCCGCGUGAGUGAUGAAGGCCUUAGGGUUGUAAAGCUCUUUCGCCCGCGACGAUGAUGACGGUAGCGGGAGAAGAAGCCCGGCUAACUUCGCGCCAGCAGCCGCGU
rnacentral:rRNA from 1 species